rnacentral:rRNA from 1 species
AUACGGAGGAUCCGAGCGUUAUCCGGAUUUAUUGGGUUUAAAGGGUGCGCAGGCGGCCAUUUAAGUCAGCGGUUAAAUCGUGGGGCUCAACCCCAUUCUGCCGUUGAUACUGGGUGGCUUGAUUGCGGUCGAGGUUGGCGGAAUUCGUUGUGUAGCGGUGAAAUGCAUAGAUAUGACGAAGAACACCGAUUGCGUAGGCAGCGCAACAGACCGCAAAAGACGCGCAUGCACGAAAGUGCGGGGAUCGAACAGGAUUAGAUGCCCUGGUAGUCCGCACAGUAAACGAUGAAUACUUGUUUUCGGCGAUAUAAUGUCGGAGGCAAAGCGAAAGCGAUAAGUAUUCCCCCUGGGGAGUACGCCGGCAACGGUGAAACUCAAAGGAAUUGACGGGG